GUGGUGAUUGUGCUGUGUUAUUGUGGUUUUAAAAGGCACAACCUGCCACCCUUGGACACAAAGACAGAGUUCUCCAGUGCACAAUGUAAUGAAUACACCACAUUUCCGGCUCAAGAGGCUUCGGGAAAAACUGAUUCGUGAAGAAGACCUGAGAGAUGAGCUGGAGAAUGAACUGGCCAAUCAGAUCAGCAUCAUCUCUGAGAAAGGUGUGAUAUUUACUGCAUUGGAGCGAGUGAAUUAGGACAUUUGCAGUGGAUUGGUUUGAACUUGUCUCUAAUUUUCCACACAGAGGGUCUGAUCUCCCAGUUACAGCACCGGGUGGAACGGAUGCUGCGGGAACAAGGAGAGCUGGAGAAAGACCAUAAAGCUGCAGUGCUGGAGCUCCAGGAGAAGAAUAAAAGUCUUCUCCACAGAGUUCAUGAGGUUUUAAAGCAGUGCCAAGAUUUAAAAACAGACAACUCUCAAAAAGAGAAAAAAAUUGAUGAGCUGACAGAAGAGAACGGGACUCUCAGUGCUCAGGUUUCAUGUUUUGAAGUCCUUGUUAAAUAUAUGACAGUUCUUUUUUUGGUUUGUUUAUUUUAUUUUAUUGUUCAUUUUAUUUAUUUAUAUAUUUAAUAUUUAUUUUAUUAUUUAUUAAAUAUUUAUUUUAUUUAUUUAAUUAUCUUUAAUUUAAUUGUUAGCUU
rnacentral:lncRNA from 1 species